rnacentral:lncRNA from 1 species
AGCAACAGCAGCAUGAGGGAGGGAGAGAGAGGGAGAAGAGGAAGGUAUUCUUUAAGCUUUACAUCCUCGAGCUUUUGAAGCUCCCUUGUGAGUGUAAUCGAUGAUACGUCGAAGAUGACACAGUACUACAUUGCCUGUUUGCAUGUCUUUCGUCAUUAUUGUCACCCACGGAAGAAAACAGUAAGAAGGAAGUCAACUCUCAAGUCAUUUAUCGAAGCUACAGCAAUCUGUCUCCAAGUCAAGAGUCCAAAUACACGCAUUGGAAACAUUUCAUGUCCUAGAAGACUUGUCACCACCAUCACUGAUCCAUGAGAGAACACAGUGAACAGUUGUUCUACUGCUCGGAACUCAACAAUAGUUAGCAGGGUCAACUUUGUCCUGGUUUGUUCAUUUGCUGGAAAAUGAAGCCUGAUUAGUAGAUUCUCUUCUAGUGUUGAAGAUGGAAAUGCC